rnacentral:rRNA from 1 species
GACGAACGCUGGCGGCGUGCCUAAUACAUGCAAGUCGAACGCUUCUUUCCUCCCGAGUGCUUGCACUCAAUUGGAAAGAGGAGUGGCGGACGGGUGAGUAACACGUGGGUAACCUACCCAUCAGAGGGGGAUAACACUUGGAAACAGGUGCUAAUACCGCCUAACAGUUUAUGCCGCAUGGCAUAAGAGUGAAAGGCGCUUUCGGGUGUCGCUGAUGGAUGGACCCGCGGUGCAUUAGCUAGUUGGUGAGGUAACGGCUCACCAAGGCGACGAUGCAUAGCCGACCUGAGAGGGUGAUCGGCCACACUGGGACUGAGACACGGCCCAGACUCCUACGGGAGGCAGCAGUAGGGAAUCUUCGGCAAUGGACGAAAGUCUGACCGAGCAACGCCGCGUGAGUGAAGAAGGUUUUCGGAUCGUAAAACUCUGUUGUUAGAGAAGAACAAGGACGUUAGUAACUGAACGUCCCCUGACGGUAUCUAACCAGAAAGCCACGGCUAACUACGUG